AUUUAACUGAAUCAGUGUGCAGAAUUCUGAAAACAAAGUGUUUAUUGUUCAAUAUUGGGAGGUUAUACAAUUACAGUUUUGCGAGCAGUUGGUGGAUAAAUGGCCAAAAUCAUGAGAAGAGCUACUCUACUAUUCCUAAUAGUAAUUAUGGCAAUGGCAAUGCAGAGAACGGUAGCUGAUAACAGUACAACCCAAGCUGAAAUGACAACAACCAUAGAACCUGACACAACAACCACAUCUGUUACUACAACAUCCACAACUGCUCCAACAUUAACAACAACUGCAACAACAAACAUGGCAGGUGCCACUACAACCACAGUUGCUCCAACAACAACAGCAGCAACCAUGUCAACCACAGCACUUCCCACAACAACUGUAGCUGCCACAACAAUCACAGAACAUGCCACAUCAACUAUAACUGCACCCACUUCAACCACAGAUACAGCCACAACAACUACAACAACCACACCUGCUCCAACAACAACUACAGCUGUAGCCACUACAGGUACAACAACUACAACAACAGCUCAAACAUCAACCACUACUGAUGUCUCAUCAACUACACCUGCUCCCACAACUGCAACAACAAACAUGGCAGGUGCCACAACAACCACAGUUGCUCCAACAUCAACAUCGGCAACCACGUCAACCACAGCACUUCCCUCAACAACUACAACUGCCACAACAACCACAGAACCUGCCACAUCAACAACAACUGCACCCACGUCAACUACAGAUACAGCCACAACAACUAUAUCUGCCACUACAACAACCACAGCUGCAACUACUACAACAACGGCUCAAACAUCAACCACUACAGCUUUCUCAUCAACUACACCUGCACCAACAACAACUGCGACAUCAACAACAACUGCAACAACAAACAUGGCAGGUGUCACAGCAACCACAUCUGCCACUACAACAACCACAUCUGCUCCAACAACAAUUACAGCUUCAACAACUACAACAACAGCUCAAACAUCAACCACUACAGCUGUCUCAUCAACUACACCUACUCCAACAUUAACAACUGCUGCAACAACAAACACUGCAGGUACCACAGAAAUCACGGUUCCUUCAACAACAAACUUGGCAGGUGCCACGUCAACCACAGCACUAACCCCAACUACUGCAGCCACAACUGCAACUACAGACUCAACAGCAAAGCCUACAGCAAAUGAGGGGUCAGUGGAAUUAGGAUUUAGAAUGAUCCGUACAUUCAUGGAUGAUUAUUCCAACUCUUCUACCACAGCAUAUCAGGAACUGGCAGCAAAUGUUACUACGGAGGUGAAUCGUGGUUACAAAAUAUUAUACCCCUUAACUUACCUAAGGUCUAGGAUCCUACAAUUCACGAGUGGCUCUGUUAUUGUCAACAUGACCCUUGUUUUUGUAAACCAGACAGUGGUUCCCAAUGUAACAAGUGUAAAGCAGGGAUUGGCCCUGUCUCUGGCUGAUGAUCACACCUUCUUAAAUGUUGAUCCAACCUCCAUUAGUGCAUCCACAACAACUGCUACCAUCACAGCCUCAACUACAGCCCCAACUACAGCAGGUCCAGCCUCAGUGGCCAGUAACUCAGGAGUCAACACCUUGACAAUCAACAGGUGGAUUGCAAUUUGGCUACCCAUACUCUUUACUACGCUAACAAGAUGGUCUCUUGAAUUGUGAAUUAAAAGACAUUAACAGAGCAACAACACUAUUUAUAUUAAAGUGAAGACUAAUGGAAAUUGACAUAGAAAGUUGUACUGCCUGCCUUAUUUAUAAUUUUCCAGAGGAGAAAUCAAAAUUGUACAAUGUUUUUUUUCCAUUUUCUGAUUCCAAUUUUCUAUUCCCGGUGGUUCACUGAUGUGAUAUUAUAUGAAGCAAAUUGAGUAUGCUCAAACUAUAAUAACCUAUUUUUACAUGCUACUUAAUGCUAAUGCUGUUAAAACUGCUGGGCAGAUUACAGUAUCCUCUUUAGUACUUUGAUUAAGACAUGAUGUGUUGCACCAAUAAACUGUAUUUCAUAAUAUUUAACAAUACCCUAUUUAUAAAGUAACAUUUUUAUAUUGAACAGUCUAUUGUCUUUAAUUAUACAGAUCAACAUAUCCAUAAAUAAA
ensembl:lncRNA